rnacentral:rRNA from 1 species
GCAGUAGCCGCGGUAAUACGUAGGUGGCAAGCGUUGUCCGGAAUUAUUGGGCGUAAAGGGCUCGCAGGCGGUUUCUUAAGUCUGAUGUGAAAGCCCCCGGCUCAACCGGGGAGGGUCAUUGGAAACUGGGAAACUUGAGUGCAGAAGAGGAGAGUGGAAUUCCACGUGUAGCGGUGAAAUGCGUAGAGAUGUGGAGGAACACCAGUGGCGAAGGCGACUCUCUGGUCUGUAACUGACGCUGAGGAGCGAAAGCGUGGGGAGCGAACAGGAUUAGAGACCCCUGUAGUCCCUGUCUCUUAUAC